UGCGCGCGUGUGUGCGUGCCUGCGUGCAUGUGUGCAUGUGUGUGCAAGCACGUAUGUGUGCAUGUGCGUGUGCGUGUG
rnacentral:pre_miRNA from 1 species